CCUACGGGAGGCAGCAGUGGGGAAUAUUGGACAAUGGGGGAAACCCUGAUCCAGCAAUGCCGCGUGAGUGAUGAAGGCCUUAGGGUCGUAAAGCUCUUUUACCAGGGAUGAUAAUGACAGUACCUGGAGAAUAAGCUCCGGCUAACUCCGUGCCAGCAGCCGCGGUAAUACGGAGGGAGCUAGCGUUGUUCGGAAUUACUGGGCGUAAAGCGUGCGUAGGCGGUUAUUCAAGUCAGAGGUGAAAGCCCGGGGCUCAACCCCGGAACGGCCUUUGAAACUAGAUAACUAGAAUCUUGGAGAGGUCAGUGGAAUUCCGAGUGUAGAGGUGAAAUUCGUAGAUAUUCGGAAGAACACCAGUGGCGAAGGCGACUGACUGGACAAGUAUUGACGCUGAGGUACGAAAGCGUGGGGAGCAAACAGGAUUAGAUACCCUGGUAGUCCACGCCGUAAACGAUGAUAACUAGCUGUCCGGACACUUGGUGUUUGGGUGGCGCAGCUAACGCAUUAAGUUAUCCGCCUGGGGAGUACGGUCGCAAGNUUAAAACUCAAAUGAAUUGACGG
rnacentral:rRNA from 1 species